rnacentral:rRNA from 1 species
GACGAACGCUGGCGGCGUGCCUAAUACAUGCAAGUAGAACGCUUAAGGAUGAGCUUGCUUCUCUGUAUGUGUUGCUAACGGGUGAGUAAUGUGUAGGUAAUCUUCCUGGUAGCGGGGGAUAACUAUUGGAAACGAUCGCUAAUACCGCUUAACAGUAGAUAUCGCAUGAUAUCUGCUUGAAAGGUGCAAUUGCCUCACUACUAGAUGUACCUGCGUUGUAUUAGCUUGUUGGUGGGGUAACGGCUCACCAAGGCGACGAUACAUAGCCGGCCUGAGAGGGUGAACGGCCACACUGGGACUGAGACACGGCCCAGACUCCUACGGGAGGCAGCAGUAGGGAAUCUUACGCAAUGGACGAAAGGCUGAAGGAGCAACGCCGCGUGAGGGAUGACGGCCGUCGGGUUGUAAAGCUCUGUUAAAAGAGACGAAUGGUUCUUAGGGGAGGAGUGCGAGAAUUUGACGGUACCGGAAUAGAAAGCGACGGCUAACUACGUG